UUGUAUUCCAUAUUACAAUAUAUAUGUAAUAUUUGUAGGUGUCAAGUCUGUUUAUAGUUGAAAUUUCCAAUGUAUAUUAUUUUUAUUGGAUGAGAAGCCUAUUGGGUUCUAUUAUUAUUAUAUAUAUUAUAUAUUUUUUCAAUUAGUUGUACUCAAAUUAUGGGUUUUGGAUCUUGUGGUUGUAUUCCAUAUUACAAUAUGUAUGUAAUAUUUGUAGGCGUCAAGUCUGUUUAUUUAUCUUAUAAUAUUGUUAUUAAGUUUUGUAAUAUUUUUUACAGGUUGUAUAUAAUAUUUAUAAGUUUUGAGCCUAUUGGAUUGUAUUACAAUAAAUAUGUAAUAUUCAUAGGUAUCAAGCCUAUUGAAUUGUUUUAAUAUUGUUACGAAGUUUUGUUAUAUUUUUUACGGGUUGUAUGUAAUAGUUAUAAAGUUCGAGCUUAUUGCGUUGUAAUAUUGUUAUUAUCAUGAUGAUACGACACACAAUAUUGUAUUUGAAUUAUGAGUUUCGGAUCAUUUGGUUGUAUUCCAUAUUACAAUAUGUAUGUAAUAUUCAUAGACAUCAAGCCUAUUGAAUUGUUUUAAUAUUGUUAUGAAGUUUUAUUAUAUUUUUU
rnacentral:lncRNA from 1 species